rnacentral:rRNA from 1 species
UUCCAGACUCCUACGGGAGGCAGCAGUGGGGAAUAUUGCACAAUGGGGGAAACCCUGAUGCAGCGACGCCGCGUGAGCGAUGAAGUAUUUCGGUAUGUAAAGCUCUAUCAGCAGGGAAGAAGAUGACGGUACCUGACUAAGAAGCCCCGGCUAACUACGUGCCAGCAGCCGCGGUAAUACGUAGGGGGCAAGCGUUAUCCGGAUUUACUGGGUGUAAAGGGAGCGUAGACGGCGAUGCAAGCCAGAUGUGAAAGCCCGGGGCUCAACCCCGGGACUGCAUUUGGAACUGUGUGGCUGGAGUGUCGGAGAGGCAGGCGGAAUUCCUAGUGUAGCGGUGAAAUGCGUAGAUAUUAGGAGGAACACCAGUGGCGAAGGCGGCCUGCUGGACGAUGACUGACGUUGAGGCUCGAAAGCGUGGGGAGCAAACAGGAUUAGAUACCCUGGUAAU